UACCAGCACCCCGAGCGGUCGGGACGUUUAUUGGGCCUAAAGCAUCCGUAGCCGGUUCUACAAGUCUUCCGUUAAAUCCACCUGCUUAACAGAUGGGCUGCGGAAGAUACUAUGGAGCUAGGAGGCGGGAGAGGCAAGCGGUACUCGAUGGGUAGGGGUAAAAUCCGUUGAUCCAUUGAAGACCACCAGUGGCGAAGGCGGCUUGCCAGAACGCGCUCGACGGUGAGGGAUGAAAGCUGGGGGAGCAAACCGG
rnacentral:rRNA from 1 species